rnacentral:lncRNA from 1 species
CUCGAAUGUUGAAGCACGCCCCAGAGGUGAGGCAGGCUGCCAGGACUGUGUCCCCUGGGAGGCAGGGCCUUAUUCGCUGGAUCUGCAGUGAUCGGUGGUCUCAGGCAGGCUGCUCUCUGGUCCAAAGCAUUGCAGUUGGUGGCCACACCCAGGGCUGUGGUUCCUGCCAGGCUAGAUCCACCUGAGAAGAGGACCCUCAAUUGAGAAUGUGCCUCCCUCUUACUGGCACACAGGUAAACCUUUCUGGAAACGCCAGAUAUUGUCCAGAGAUGUGUUUCCAUGGCAAUCCUCAUCUAGCCAAGUUGGCAAUGAGGAUGAAUAAUCAACGAGCAUCAACUUUCAACUGAACUCUGGUGUCUCUCUGCCUUAAAUAUGUCUCUUGGAAACUGCUGAAUUAUAUUAAAAAAAAAAAGCUGAUGUUCGGACUUCACUGCGGUGGUAAAUGGCAGCGCGCUCUGCUGAAGAUCCCAACAGGAAUUGGACUCCAGUCAGUCCUUCACAGACCCAGCUCAAAUCUUCUGAGUGUUCUCGUGCACUCCUUGUCAGCCACUCCGCAGACACCUACUCAUUCGGGCGGAGCACAGAGGAGGGGCUAACCCCAGGAUGCUCACUGGCAGAGAAGACUUUUUGCUGAGAUUGUCUUGGCAUCCAAUGGAUCUAUAGCCAUGGCCAUCCAGGAGCCCUGGGGCACCUGUGGUAGGGUCAAGUGUGAGAUGGAGCACGGAAGUGUGAUGCUGGUUGUUGGAGUGGUACCUAGGCACUGAUGAAUGUUCCUCUACCCCAACAGCAAGACACAGCUUGCUCUCAAAUAUCAAUGACGGUAGGUUGAUGGUACUUGAUUCUCUUGGGAGGACAACAGCCACACACUAGGGAGGGUACAGUGGGGAAGGAAGAGUCUCGAGAGUCCCAAGUGAGUGUUUGUGGUAGUUUGAAUAAGAAUCCCCACCACCACCUCUAGGCUCAUAAAUUUGAACGCAUAGGGAGUGGCACUGUUUGAAAGGAUUGGGAGGUGUGGCCUUGUUGGAGGAAGUAGUCACUGGGAG